GGGACGAGAGGAUCCAUGGUCCACGCGCAUGUGCAAGGAAUCUCAAGUACUCGCAGCCACAUGAGCCAAAGUGGCACAUGGGCAUGCUAUCCAAGCCAUCCAUGGAAUUGGAUUUACAAUCUUAGAGAUUUUUAGGACAUCUCCCAUCCACUGUUCAUGAUACUUGAUGGACGGUCUUGAUCAUUGAACCAUGGCUCAGCAUUUAUAGAAUCAUGCACGUGCUGAUGAGCAGGAGGUACUAUGGGGUCUUUCUCAUGAAAUCGGACUGCUGACUGAGUCACUCAAGGUUGAUGUUAAAAUUGAAGCAUAUCCAAAGCUCAAGUGGACCACACCACAGCGAGAGCUCUUAAUGCCAUUUUCCAACAUUGGGGUCUUUCUGUUACUUCUGAUGACUGGAACAUAAGUGGAGACCCAUGUAGUGGGACUGCCGUUAAUUCAUUAACAAUCAGCAACCCUGGG